rnacentral:rRNA from 1 species
GUCCUAGCCGUAAACAAUGGAUACUAGGUGUUGAACAGAUCGACCUGUGCAGUACCAAAGCUAACGCGUUAAGUAUCCCGCCUGGGAAGUAUGCACGCAAGUGUGAAACUCAAAGGAAUUGACGGGGCCCGCACAAGCGGUGGAGCAUGUGGUUUAAUUCGAUGCAACGCGAAGAACCUUACCAGGGUUUGACAUGAUACGAAUUUCUUUGAAAGAAGAAAGUGCCUUUUGGAACGUAUACACAGGUGGUGCAUGGCUGUCGU